rnacentral:other from 1 species
AAAUUCCUGAGAUGUUCGAUACUCCUGUCAUUUUGAACCUACAUGAUGAUAUACGGGAUUCCUACAUUCUUAAGUGGAUGUCAGGCCGCCGUUUGCAGCGGAAGGCAGAAGCUUAUGUGCGGUUACCCACCUAGCUUAGCUAGGAGUCAAAAUACAGGAAACGGCAUUUUGGGUAUACU